GGAAACGUGGCUCAGUGGUAGAGCACUUGCCUUGCAUGCAUGAGGCCCUGGGUUCAAUUCCUCAGCACCA
rnacentral:tRNA from 1 species